GACGAACGCUGGCGGCGUGCUUAACACAUGCAAGUCGAACGAAGUGGCGAACGGGUGAGUAAUACGUGGGUAACCGGCUCUCCUUUUUGGGAUAAGCCUUGGUAACGGGGUUUAAUAACGAAUAAAGGGGGAUGGGCUCGGGGCCUAUCAGCUUGUUGGUGGGGUGAUGGCCUAUCCAGGCGGUGACGGGUACCCGGCGUGAGAGGGAGACCGGGCACAGUAGGACUGAGGUACGGCCCAGACUCCUACGGGAGGCCGCAGUUGGUGAUAUUGCACAAUUGACGAAAGCCUGAUGCAGCGACGCCGCGUGGAGGAUGAAGGCUUUGGAGUUGUAAACCUCUUUCGCUACCGAACGGGUAGGUGGAGAAGAAGGGCCGGCUAACUACGGGCCAGCAGCCGCGGUAAUUC
rnacentral:rRNA from 1 species